UGCUGCUGUUGUGUGGAAAAUGGAUUGGAAGGAUUCACAAAAGUGGAUGGUGGGACGCUGUCAGGCUGUGGUGGUGCAGACAUCUUCGAAUGAGACGAAACAGCAAGAGUGAAGACCCAGAGGGAGGUGUGGAGGUGUUAAAGGGAAGUUGAAGACAGGCUAGCCCCGAGACUUCCCUCUUGAUAUUCCUGCUCCCCGCAACAGUCACUCAAUUAUUUUAUUAUGUGUUGACAUCAUUCUCAAUGGAAUGGAUGAUUGUAUUCUGGCAGGGUCUCCUUCCAAAUUUUGCUGAGUAUCACAAACCACAGCUUUGAAAGAGGCUUUCAAGAUCCCUCAUCCCUUCUGGUGCCCGGGUCCCCACCACAUCAGCCCUCUGUGGUGCAAGUAGU